rnacentral:lncRNA from 1 species
UUCAAUUAUUUGCAUUACUUUACCAACUUUAAUUUCUGCUACAUCUUAAUAAAAAAAAUUAUGAAAAAAAAUUAAAUAUCUGUACAAAUAGUAUAAAAUAUACACCGUUUAUAUAUAUUUUAUAUAAUUUUUAUAGUAUAUUGUAAUAUAUUAUAUUAUUUUUGCGUAAUAUACUAUACUAUUCGUAAUUUAGUGUAAAAAUAAUAUAAAAUAUGUAUUAAUAAUACAUAUGUUGCACUACUUAUACAGAUAUUGCACUAUUUGAGAGGAUGUUAUACUUUUUCAUCUUAUUAAUUAUAUUUUAUUCUUUUUAUUUUGUUUUGAAUGAGAAUUCUCGUUUCACGAGAAAGAUAAUGUAAUUAUGGUUUUGCAGUUGUUAUUUCUAAAAAAUUUGACACUUAAUGGUUUAAUAGUUGUAUUUUUUUAGGCAUUUAAAACACGUAAUUUUUAUGCAUUUGGAAAGAAGGGUAGUUUGGUCAUCUUUCUGAAAAUUUGGCCCGAUUCUGCAAAAUUCAAAAAGACAGCCUACUUUUGCAACAGCUCAAAAUUAAUAGAUUUUUUUAUACAAAUUGGCUUUUUUUUCGUACAAAUGACCAUAGUAAAUUUAUAUUUAAUUAUUUAGUCUUUUUUUGCCACGCGAGUGCUAUUUUAGUAUUUUUAAGUUGAACACGGUGAUUCAAUCGUCGUGCUCAUAUUCACAUUUUCGUCUCUGAUUUUUAACUUAGAGCUAUAAAAAAUAAAAAAUAAAAAAAUACGGUAGUUCAAUCACUAUGUUUUAACACGGUGUUUAAAUCACUAUGUUCAACUUAAAAACAUCAUUUAGACACUUGCGUAGAAGGCAGAGGGUUAUUUUUGUAAAUAUAAAUUUGUCAGAAUCAAUUUAUAUAUUAAAAAAAAAACUUUGUGAGGGCUAAAUGCAAAAUUAAAAAAA